AUUGAACGCUGGCGGCAGGCCUAACACAUGCAAGUCGAGCGAGCGGCGGACGGGUGAGUAAUGUAUGGGGACUGCCCGAUAGAGGGGGAUAACUACUGGAAACGGUAGCUAAUACCGCAUACAACCGGAUAACCCAUAUGGGAUUAGCUAGUAGGUGCGGUAAUGGCUCACCUAGGCGACGAUCCCUAGCUGGUCGUAGAGGAUGCGAAGCCACACUGGGACUGAGCAACGGCCCUGGCUCCGAGGUGGGCAGCAGUGUGUAAUAUUGCACAAUGGGCGCAAGCCUGAUGCAGCCAGGCCGCGUGUAUGAAGAAGGCCCUAGGGUUGUAAAGUACUUUCAGUCGGGAGGCGUUACCGACAGAAGAAGCACCUGCUAACUCCGUGCCAGCCGCCGCGGUAAUAC
rnacentral:rRNA from 1 species